rnacentral:rRNA from 1 species
GACAGAGGUGGCAAGCGUUGUUCGGAUUCAUUGGGUGUAAAGGGUCCGUAGGUGGUCUAGCAAGUCUGAUGUGAAAUCCCAUGGCUCAACCGUGGAACUGCAUUGGAAACUGUUGGACUUGAGUACCGCAGAGGUAAAGGGAAUUCCCGGUGUAAGGGUGAAAUCUGUAGAUAUCGGGGGGAACACCAGUGGCGAAGGCGCUUUACUGGGCGGUUACUGACACUGAGGGACGAAAGCAAGGGGAGCAAACAGG